rnacentral:rRNA from 1 species
AUUGAACGCUGGCGGCAGGCCUAACACAUGCAAGUCGAGCGGCAGCGGGAAAGUAGCUUGCUACUUUUGCCGGCGAGCGGCGGACGGGUGAGUAAUGCCUGGGAAAUUGCCCAGUCGAGGGGGAUAACAGUUGGAAACGACUGCUAAUACCGCAUACGCCCUACGGGGGAAAGCAGGGGACCUUCGGGCCUUGCGCGAUUGGAUAUGCCCAGGUGGGAUUAGCUAGUUGGUGAGGUAAUGGCUCACCAAGGCGACGAUCCCUAGCUGGUCUGGGAGGGAGAACAGCCACACUGGAACUGAGACACGGUCCAGACUCCGACGGGAGGAAGCAGUGGGGAAUAUUGCAAAAUGGGGGAAACCCUGAUGCAGCCAUGCCGCGUGUGUGAAGAAGGCCUUCGGGUUGUAAAGCACUUUCAGCGAGGAGGAAAGGUUGAUGCCUAAUACGUAUCAACUGUGACGUUACUCGCAGAAGAAGCACCGGCUAACUCCGUGCCAGCAGCCGCCGUAAGAC